UUUGAGAGUUUGAUCCUGGCUCAGGAUGAACGCUGGCGGCGUGCCUAACACAUGCAAGUUGAGCGAUUUACUUCGGUAAAGAGCGGCGGACGGGUGAGUAACGCGUGGGUAACCUACCCUGUACACACGGAUAACAUACCGAAAGGGAUGCUAAUACGGGAUAAUAUAUUUGAGAGGCAUCUCUUGAAUAUCAAAGGUGAGCCAGUACAGGAUGGA
rnacentral:rRNA from 1 species